rnacentral:tRNA from 1 species
GCGCCGGUAGUGUAAGGCGUAACAUCGCUGCCUGGAAAGCAGGGGCGCGGGUUCAAGUCACGCCUGGCGCA